rnacentral:rRNA from 1 species
CGCUGGCGGCGGGAAUUAGGCAUGCAAGUCGAACGGUAGGAACCUUUCGGGGUUCUGAGAGUGGCGAACGGGUGAGUAACACGUAGGUAAUCUACCCUCAAAUCGGGGACAACCCAGGGAAACUUGGGCUAAUACCGGAUGAGUGCGGCACCUUUAUCAUCUUGGUGGUUCUGCUUAAUAAGUGGGAUUGGAUGGGCGAUAUAGGUGCUGUAUAAAAGUUGGCGUAAGCUGGCGUUUGGGGAUGAGCCUGCGCUCUAUUAGUUAGUUGGUGAGGUAACGGCUUACCAAGGCGAUGAUAGAUAGGCGGCCUUAACGGGUGGUCGCCCACACUGGGAUUGAGAUACGGCCCAGACUCCUACGGGAGGCAGCAGUCGAGAAUAGUCUACAAUGGACGAAAGUCUGAUAGAGCGACGCCGCGUGAACGAAGAAGCCCUUCGGGGUGUAAAGUUCUUUUAUAUGUGAGCAAUGCUUCUUAUAUGAAUAGUAUGAGGAGAGAGAUAUUAGCAUAUGAAUAAGCAACGGCUAACUCCGUGCCAGCAGCCGCGGUAACACGGGGGUUGCAAGCGUUGUCCGGAAUUACUAGGCGUAAAGGGCAGGUAGGCGGAUAGAUAAGUUUGAUGUUUAAGGCAGCGGCUCACCCGCUGUAAGGCAUCAGAUACUGUUUAUCUGGGAAUACGGUUGGGGAAGACAGAAUUCCUGGUGUAGCGGUGGAAUGCGCAGAGAUCAGGAGGAAUACCGAAGGCGAAGGCAGUCUUCUAAGCCGUUAUUGACGCUAAACUGCGAAGGUGUGGGUAUCAAACAGGAUUAGAUACCCUGGUAGUCCACACAGCAAACGAUAAUCACUAGGUGUUGGGUUCGAAGAGGAUUCGGUGCCGUAGCUAACGCGAUAAGUGAUUCGCCUGGGGAGUACGAUCGCAAGGUUGAAACUCAAAGGAAUUGACGGGGGCCCGCACAAGCGGUGGAGCAUGUGGUUUAAUUCGAAGCAACGCGAAGAACCUUACCCGGUCUUGACAUCCAAGGAAUCUUUCAGAGAUGAGGGAGUGCCGGCUUGCCGGAGCCUUGAGACAGGUGCUGCAUGGCUGUCGUCAGCUCGUGUCGUGAGAUGUUGGGUUAAGUCCCGCAACGAGCACAACCCCUGCUUCCAGUUACCAUCAUUAAGUUGGGGACUCUGGAAGGACCGCUGCGGUAACAACGCAGAGGAAGAUGGGGACGAGGUCAAGUCAUCAUGGUCCUUAUGACCGGGGCUACACACGUGCUACAAUGGUAGUUACAGAGGGGAGCGAGACCGCGAGGUGGAGCGAAUCUCAGAAAAGCUACCCAAGUUCGGAUUGGGGUCUGCAACUCGACCCCAUGAAGCUGGAAUCGCUAGUAAUCGCGCAACAUNCAUGGCGCGGGAAUACUUCCCG